GGACCCGGCUGUGAGGGUCGCUGAAGAUGUAUGCCCGGGGGCGGCACAUCUUGCAGAUGGCAAGGCCUGUGAGGCCGGCACCACUGCCAAGUUCUAGGACAGUCCUGGCGGGAGGAAAGGGGACCGUGUCUUCGACUGCACCAGGGUAAGCCUGCCUUGGUGCCCUGCCCUGUGCCCCGAGGUCACCUGUUAGUGAAGGCUGCUGGGUUCUCGAUGGCCCAUUCUGCAAGGCAGAGGGUGGCGUCCCAUGUGACCAGGCCUGUGGUACCGUGAGAGAUGAUGGCUGUGCUCUCGGAGAUUGUGACCGAGCCUCCCGAGGGCUGCACCAAGAGAGGGCGAGAGAGUCAGUCCAGCGAUCAGAAGGCAAGUGGCUUAGAAGACAAGUAGCCAUCCACCACAUGGCUGAAUAAACCAUGACAGGACCAAUCGCCACUCAGCAAUGAGAAGCAGCUAACUGUUGACAUACCAACAGCUUUCACGGGCCUCAAGAUUGUCACGUGGCAUGAAAGACACUCAUCUCAGGCCACACAGGAUUCCAUUCAUCGAACAUUCCUGAGACAACGGAAUUCUGGCGAUGGAGCACAGGAUGCUUCACAGUCUACGGCAAAGGACAGAACGUUGGUUGCUCGAGAGCCCGUCUUAAGUCUCCUAUGAGCUUCAAGCCAACACAACAGAGGGCAAACUCCAGGCUACCUGAUCCCUCAGCAAAGAUGCAGAUGGACACAGCGUUCUGGCCCCACGCAUCUGAAGUUCGUCUUAAGAUGUAAGCCGUUUCCUAAAAAUGCUUCCACUGCAGUGGCACAGGC
rnacentral:lncRNA from 1 species